UUUUUUUUUUUUUUUUCGAUAUUACCACCGGGGAACAUUCGACGUGGCAAAUGUUCUCUCUUCACGUGAAACAUAUCCGUAUUUGAAUUUAACAUCGUGUCGCUGAUACUUCGAAUCGGGAAUUUUUUUAAAUCCCCAGAAAUAUUCUUUUUUUUUCUGAUGAAAAUCCUGUUUUUUUUUUCCUUCAGCCGCGGAGAUUAAACAAUUCAUUUGUGAUGGAAAUUGUCGACGAAAUGGAAUUGGAAUCGUUUUUCAGUUUAUACAUAUUUCUUUCGCUGAUUUGCUUGUUAAUUCGAUUGUUAAAAAAAAAAAAAAAACAGACCUAUCUGGUGUAAUUUUCAAAGAAUUUUAUUUGCCAUUUUUUUAAUCCUUUGAUUAAUAUUGAGCAAAAAAUAAUUGGAUAAAUAUUUCAUUUUAAAAUUCAAUAUUUAAAGAAAUUUACACGUGGACGUUAAAAAUGGACACGUAAUAUUUAAAUUCUGAUUCAAAAUUUCCAUUUCCAGCGUGAAACACAACUAUAAAAAUUGUUUUCCGGAUUUUCAACGUUUCGUUUCUCUUGUUUCCAAAGGCUUCGCAAGUUGUUUAAUCGAAGAAAAUUGCGCGGAAGCAUUAUACAUCGUCAAACAAUCGGAAACAAUUCCAAUUUCCAAAUUGGAUUUCAAUCACGUAAUAAUACACCGACUCCAUCCUCCUAAAAUAAUCCCUAAGCCACGUGUAAACGUUUAAAUCUCCAUUUCUCCGAAAAUUUUACACGCACACACGAAACAAUUCCAAACGAUUGCAAACAAUUCCAAUUUCAAAAUUGGAUUUCGAUAUAACGCAGUAAUUCUGACUCCAUCCUUCCAAAAAUAAAAUGCUUCGUUCAUUCCGAAUCUAAUUCUCGCCCGAAAAACUUUGCGCGUCGAGCACAAUGCAUCAUCGAGCGAUGCACGCGAUCAAAUUUUAUCACCGUCGAUAAAAUAGCCGGAGGGAAAAUUUUGGACCACGGUUUUUGCUCGGCCAUUGUCAUUGUCGUCCCGCGAUUCGUAUAUAGAGAAAGGGGCUCGAUGAAUCAAACCGAGGAGGACGGAUACGUUGCGAAGUGCUUUUCAGAGGAUUGUCUCGCCCUAAGCGCGUACCAUCCCCUCCCUCCCUUCACGCGUAUUCUUACCACCCCGCAAACUUGCAUACGAGAGUUUGCAUUUAUAUCCUCUCGAAGCUUUCAGCCGGAGGCGUUCUCCUUCGUAUUAUAGAUCUGGGAGAAAUGUUUUUGUUCAGACGCGAGAAUCGGGGAGGAAAGGCCAGAAGGAUGGCGAGAUCACGUCGACGAAUUGAAAUUAUGAUAAUUCUUUUUAAUAUUUUUUCUUUUUUUUUUUAGGUUUUGAAAGUUGUCUUCAAGAAGAAGAUUGCGCGCAAAGAGUAAUUUUGAAGCAACGUUUGAUCUAUGAUUAUGGGAUUAAGGAUUAAGAAAAAAGUUAUGAUUGAAGAAAAUUGCGGGUGGAUUAUUUCGAGGUUGGAAUGUUUGAUCUAUGUAAAUAUUUAUUGUAAAGUUUGAUUUAUGAGAGGAUUAAGAAAAUUUAGAAAAAAGUUAUCAUCAAGAUAAUUGUGUGCAGCAUUUUGGAAUUGAAAGUUUGGUUCUUUUGUGAAGGAUAUCGAUAAACUGGAUGACUGAUGAUGCAAUACGAGGAAUAAAAUCUGCAGUCAAUAUAGCGAUAAUCUUUGUAUCAUUUAUAAAGUGGCAAACGUGGCAGUGGCAUAAAGUGUUCUCAAAUUUUAUCUCGAGGCCAUAAAAGAUUAUAAAUCGGUUGUAUCACUAGUUCAUCGAUAUCAUGUGCAACUUCGUUCAAUCGAUAAAAAAGUUUCAGUGAAAACAAACAUUGGACAGAAAGAAAGAGAGAGAUAGAGACAAGUAUAGAGUUCGUGACAAGGAAUACUGUCUGUCACUUGUCUGGAGCUUGGAAUAGGUCAGUGAGAGAAGAUGCGAGCGAGAGAUCCGAGUAAGGGACAAAGAUGGAGAUAGUAAACGAUUAAAAAAUUAUCCUUCUCUUUAAACGAUGAUAUCUCGGCAAGCGGAAGUCGUAUCGAGAUAAACGAAAAAGCGUUUUAAAGAGGAAGGUUCUGCGCUUCUAACGAUCUUUCACUUGAUGGCCGGAAGUCAUUAUCUUCAGAGUUACAGCGGCUCAAUUUUAAUAGGGUUUAACGGUAAAUAAAUAAAUUUACGAUACUCUUUACACGAUGAUAUUUCGGGACUCGAAAGUCGUAUUGAAAUAAACGAGAGAGCAUUUUAAAGGGGAAAGUUCCACGCUUUUAAUGAUCGUUCAUUCGUUGGCCGAGAAUCAUUAUUCUUGGAAUUAAAGCGGUUCGAAGUUUUGGUAAUUUUAAUACGCUUAUAAUCAAGUUUCGAGAUGGAUCGUUACAAUUGUUGAGGGAUAUUUUAGUCGAUUCGAAGAUUCACCGUUCAAUUGUUAUCCAAGUAGUGUCAUUAAAUGUCAACUCGCUCGACAAAAUUACUACGAAUUUUCCAAAGUUGUUACAAAGAAUUAUUCGAGGAAAAAUGAGUGGUUGACAGAAGGAGAGAUUUUUCGAGAUGGCGGGUUUUUAUCAAAGAUUUUAUUUCCAGUA